CAGGUAAGGAGGCGUUUAUUUAGCAUUCACGUACAAAGCAUUAGCAUUAGCGUCGGCGCUUUGAGGUAAAGCUGUCACUUUAAGUUUUGCCCCCACUGGAAAGUCUUCAGGACAGGGGAUUUUGCACGUCGCAGUUUUUCAGUUGAGUGACAAACUGAUUUUUUUUUUUUUUUCCUUUUCAUUAGCUUCAAGACGGAGAAGAAGAAAAAAAAAGGAGUGUAGCAAGGUAAGUAUUUGGAGUAAUGAGUCCCUGAACAAAGGAUGGGUCGAUAUCAGAAGGAACAGUCAGUAUCUGGUGUUGCCUCCAGCUGCUUUAAGUCCUGCAGUGUAUAUCAUCCUCAUGGACUGCACCAGAUUGGUCAGUUCUUGCUGUGAGAUGCUCCCUCACUCUUCCACCAAGGCAUUUACAAGUUCUCGAACA
ensembl:lncRNA